CCUACGGGGGGCAGCAGUGAGGAAUAUUGGUCAAUGGACGAGAGUCUGAACCAGCCAAGUAGCGUGAAGGAUGACUGCCCUACGGGUUGUAAACUUCUUUUAUAUGGGAAUAAAGUGAUCCACGUGUGGGAUUUUGUAUGUACCAUAUGAAUAAGGAUCGGCUAACUCCGUGCCAGCAGCCGCGGUAAUACGGAGGAUCCGAGCGUUAUCCGGAUUUAUUGGGGUUAAAGGGAGCGUAGGUGGAUGGUUAAGUCAGUCGUGGAAGUUGGCGGGUCAACCGUAGAAUUGCAGUUAAAACUGGAAGUCGUGAGUACAGUAGAGGUAGGCGGAAUUCGUGGUGUAGCGGUGAAAUGCUUAGAUAUCACGCAGAACUCCGAUUGCGAAGGCAGCUCACUGGACUGCAACUGACGCUGAUGCUCGAAAGUGUGGGUAUCAAACAGGAGUAGAUACCCUAGUAGUC
rnacentral:rRNA from 1 species